ACGGGAGGCAGCAGUGGGGAAUCUUGCACAAUGGGGGAAACCCUGAUGCAGCAACGCCGCGUGAAGGAUGAAGGCCCUUGGGUCGUAAACUUCUUUUCUGAGGGAAGAUAAUGACGGUACCUCAGGAAUAAGUCCCGGCUAACUACGUGCCAGCAGCCGCGGUAAUACGUAGGGGGCGAGCGUUAUCCGGAAUUAUUGGGCGUAAAGAGUACGUAGGUGGUUUCCUAAGCAUGGGGUUUAAGGCAAUGGCUUAACUAUUGUUCGCCCCAUGAACUGGGUUACUUGAGUGCUGGAGGGGAAAGCGGAAUUCCUAGUGUAGCGGUGAAAUGCGUAGAUAUUAGGAGGAACACCAGUGGCGAAGGCGGCUUUCUGGACAGUAACUGACACUGAGGUACGAAAGUGUGGGGAGCAAACAGGAUUAGAUACCCUGGUA
rnacentral:rRNA from 1 species